rnacentral:lncRNA from 1 species
CACUCUUGAUCUAACAGACGGGAUCCUUCUUCCUAAUCCAUAUAUAUAUACUCACUCACUCACCCCGCACCCCCCAAAGGCACCCUACCCUCCUCAUUCUUCUUCCCCAUCUCAAACCCUCAGAGACCAGAACCACAAAACCCUAGCCGCCUCUAGGCAAUUUGCACCAGAAACACGGCGGCAACGACGCCGCCGGUCACCCCGUUAACACCGCAGAACCCCAUCUCAGAGACCUGAACCCCAAAACCCUAGCCGCCUCUAGGCAAUUUUCAAAAAGAAACCCGGCGGCAACGACGCCGCCGGUCACCCCGUUAACACCACAGAACCCCCAUCACACC